rnacentral:lncRNA from 1 species
AUAACUGAAAUUAGGAUGAAAUUCCUAAAUCAAAAUCUCUCGUCCAGUUGGGUGCGCGGCUCACUCGCGAGCUUCUCCGGAUCGAACCCGGUCCGGCGUCGUUGAACGAACUUCGCUCGUCGUCGGUUUCCAAUUCAGGAACUAGGUCUCCGGCGAUAGGAGAUUCUCUGAUCUUCUCGACAUCUGAUUUCACACCUGCUCCAUCCACCACUAACGCAUCAUCACCUGCCCGUUCAGAAUCGACAUUGCCCCCAAUGUUGAUAGAUGGAAAAAGCUCGUACACAUCCUCCUCGAACUCCCAUGAUGAGUCUUCCGGAAUUGUGCCACUCCAUUUGAUGAGUAACUGAUUUCUCUUUUUUCCUCCCUGUUGGAUCGUUUUUUUAUCUAAUACAGAAAUUGGAUAUAUUAUUGGAUUACUGUUCAGAUACUAAUACUUAAUUGUUGCUCUCUUGCUCUGUAAUUGUGCCACAAAACUUUUUCAGCUUAGAUACAUGAAAGGUUGGAUGUAUUCUACUGCCCUCGGGAAGCUUGAGUCGGUAAGCCACUUCAUUUAUUUUUUUGCUUACUUCAUAAGGGCCGAAAUAUCUUUUACAAAUUUUUUGUGCAAUCUCUGAGCCACAGAACUUUGUCGAUAUGGUUUUAGUUGGACCAAAACCUAAUCACCCUCCUUGUAUGAUGCCUCUGACCUUUCUUUAUCAGCCUGAUUUUUCAUUCUAGUCUGUGCCGUGCUUAGAUUUUUCUUUAUUUUUUCUAAAGUUUCUUCCCUGAUUUGUAGCAUUGUAUCCACUGCUUGUACUGAUGAUUCCCCUUCCUUGUAGUGAGGUAUCUCAUUUGCCUCCUUUCCAUAGAGCACCUUGAAUGGUGUUAAGCCCAAGGCUGAGUGAAAGCUUGAGUUAUGCCAUAACUCCGCCCAAGGUAGUAAUUUUAACCAUAAAUGAGGAUUUUCGUGGCAAUAAGAUCUUAGGUACAUUCCUAGGGUCAUGUUGACCACUUCAUUCUGCCCAUCUGAGUGUGGAUGAUAGGCGGAUGAGAAAUUUAGCUUAGUGCCACUAAGCUUGUUCAACUCCUUCCAAAAUUUUGAAGUAAAUACUCUAUCUCUGUCCGAUACAAUGGAAGCAGAAAUCCCAUGCAAUUUUACUAUAUCCUGAACAAAGCAUUCAGCCACUAUAGAUGCAUUAAAAUUAGUGGGGAGUGGGAUAAAGUGGGCAUAUUUGGAUAACCUAUCCACCACUAUCAUAAUGACCGAAUUUUUCCUUGCUUUGGGAAGGUCUGUUAUAAAAUCCAUGUUAAUGUCUUGCCAAACAUUUGAGGGUAUAGGGAGUGGCAUCAAUAAGCCUGCCAUUUUACUAUUUGUAGAUUUGAAUUGUGGACAUACCAAGCAUUCUUUCACAUACCUUUUUAUUUGUGCACCCAUGUUUGGCCAAAAAAAAUAUUUGGCAAUCCUUUUCCAAGUUCUAUGAAUUCCAGAGUGCCCUCCUAGUUGUGAAUCAUGAAGCUGAAAUAGAAUUUUCUUUAUUAAAGGAGAAUCCUCAGAUAGAUAAUACCUGUUCUUGAAGAAUAAGAUGCUAUUUUUGACUGCAUACCCCACAUAGCAUUUUUCUGUUUCUGUGUAUUUCUCUAUUAGUUCUUUUGUUCUUGCAUUGCCUUCAUUUUCAGUCUUUAGCUCAUCUAAAAUUGUAUAAAUUGGACCAGAUAGAGCUAGUAAAGAGCCAUGUGCUCUCUUGGAGUUUGAAGUGAAUAAUACUUCCUCUUCAAAAUUUCUAGACAAUGCAUAAGCCACUACAUUAUCUUUCCCAGACUUAUAAAUAAUGGAUCAAACACUAACAAUUUACACAAGAAUACUUGUUGUUCUGGGGUCUAGAUUGCUUGAGUCAGAAGAUUCUUUAAGCUUUUAUGAUUUGUUUUGAUUAUAAAAUAUGAUCCCAGUAAAUAGUGUCUCUAUUUGCUCACUGCUUGGGUGAUUGCAAAUAUUUCUUUGACAUAUACAGAGGCUACCAUAAUUCUUCCCGACAACUUGCAGCUAAAAAAGUUGAUUGGGUGGGAGUUUUGGCUUAGGACAACACCCACACCAGAUUUACAGGCAUCUAUUUCAACUGUGAAUUCUAGCUCAAAAUCAGGAAAUACUAAAAUAGGAGCUGAAACCAUUGCUGUUUUCAGUUAUUCAAAACUAUUUGUGGCUUCUUCUCCCCAAUGGAAACUAUCUUUUUUCAAUAAAUCUGUCAUAGGGCCUGCAAUUGAAGAAUACCCUCUAAUAAAUCUUCAAUAAUAUCCUGUUAGACCUAAAAAGUCUCUCAAUUUUUUUAGUGCUUUAGGUCUUGGUCAUUCUACCAUUGCCUUGAUCUUUUUAGGGUUUGGAUGCACUCCAUCUACAACAAUGAUAUGUCCCAAAAAUGUCAUUGAGUGUCUACCAAAGGAACACUUAGAUAAUUUGACUAUGAGUUUAUUUGCUCUUAAAAGAUCAAACACUGUCUUUAGAUGCUCUAUGUGGUCGUUUAAUGAAGCACUAUAAAUCAGGAUAUCAUCGAAGAACACAAUCACAAACUUUUUCAGAUAUUUAGAAAAUACAUUAUUCAUUACUGACUGAAACGUAGCUGGAGCGUUUGUCAAACCAAAGGGCAUGAUAAGGAAUUCAAUGUGCCCAUGGUGGGUCCUAAAUGCAGUUCUUUCAGUGUGGUUGGGGUUAACACGGAUUUGGUAGAAUCCAAACCUUAAAUCCAGCUUGGAGCAGAUGGCCGAUCCUUUUAAUUCCCCUAACAAUUCAUCAACUGUGGGAAUUGGAAAUUUGUCCUUAAUGGUAAUUGCGUUCAAGGCUAUAUAAUCUACGCAUAAACGACAACCCUCAUCCUUCUUUUUCACUAACAAAACAGGGGAGGAAUAUGGGCUGGAACUAGGUUUAAUGAUACCUUGUUUCAGCAUCUCAGCAAUCAAUUUCUCAAUCUCAGACUUUUGAAAUUGUGGGUACCUGUAAGGUCGCACAUUUACUGGUUUAUCCCCGGGGUCUAAGUGAAUUGAGUGGAUUCUUUCUCUAGGAAGUGGUAACCCACAAGGGCCUUCAAAUAAAUCACAAUACUCUUGGACUAUCUUUGUAAUCUCUGGAAUUUCAUUUGCUAAUGUGGCAGUGCUCUCUGUACUAUCAAUCCUCUCUAAAUAGCAUAUAUAGGCUUCGUGUGUGGAAGCAACUAAACACUUCAACUGUCCCACAGUUAAUGGGUCAUCAGAAACCCAAGGUAGGCCUUUCCAAACCACUUUCUUCCCAGAUAGACAAAACUCCAUGGUUGAUUUAUCAAAAUCAAAAGUUACAGGGCCAAAAUUUUUUAGGCCUUGAACCCCGAUCACCAUGUUAGAACCAGCCAUGUGAAUGAGAAAUAUAUCCAUAAUAAUGAGUUGGUCUUGGAUUUUUACCUCAAUUCCCUUGCACAUUCUAUCACAUACCAAUUUUUCUCCACUGCCUGUGGACACAUAAAAUGGUGUGAUCAUUAAUAUGGUCAAUUUUAUUGCUGAUGCCACUUCUGCUUGAAUAAAGUUGGAGCUGGACCCAAAGUCUAUUAAGACACUGAUUAACAUUUGAUAAAUCCUUCAACUCUGAGUGUACUUGAGUUGAUAUUUCCCUCGAAAGUAUGGAGAGAUAUUUCUCCACAGCAUCAUUACUUGCUUCAACCACUAUGUUCUCUUCAUAUUCUUGGUCUUCUAUCUCUACUAACUCAAACUGAUCAGCAAACAACCGAAACAAUUUACCUUUUCUGCCCACACACACAUUAUUAUGACUAGCAGAGAACUUUUCAUCGCAGUUAAAACAGAGGCCUUUGCUUCUUCUAUCUGCUCUCUCAGUAGCUGACAAUCUCUUUGUGGUAGAAAGUUCUGUGAUUGUUGGGCUUGUGUUGCCAAUGCUUAAUUCAGAUUUGUUCUGAUGAGGUGUAGUUACCGAAUAGUUUUUAGUGAAAGGUUUAUGAGCGCAAGGCUUGUAAGUAGGUGCUUUACUUUACCCACCUCUUCUUGUCUCAAUCAUUAGUGACAUCUCGAAUGCUUCGUGGAUGUCAUUAGGUUUCCCCAAAAUUACAUCAGCCUGGAUUUCUUCUUUCAACCCCGAUAUGUACAUCUCAAAUAUAAAAUACUCAGGAAGACAAAGAACCCUUGUAGACAUUUCUUGAAACAAAGUCUGAUAUUCUGCCACUGUCCCUUCCUGAAUUAAUUUGCUCAGCUUACCACCGGGCAGUUGAUAGUGUAGUUUGGUAAAUUUCCUUAUGACCUACAAAAUUUGACCAUGUAGAUAACAUAUUGCUUGCUUCUAGCCAAGUAAACCACUUUCUAACAAUGCCAUCCAGAUGGAAUGACACAAUUAAUAAUUUUUUUAUCCUCUGGAACUUUAUUGAAUAUAAAGUAUCGUCUUACUGAAUACAGCCAAUGCUCAGCUUCAGUGCCAUCGAACCUCGGCAUGUUAACUUUAAUAUGUUUUGCUGGAGUAUAGUUUGGAUCUUCUAGUACCGAUAAUGCAUAACUUGGAUUGUCCAGAUCUACUACUGAUUGACAAUAAUUCAUUGAUUUAUCUCCUUGAUCUGGUGGUUGUUUUGGUUGAUUUUCAUUAAUAUUUCCUUCACUUUUUUCAUACAAUUUCUUGUAUAAUUCCUCCACUUGCUUUCCCAACUAUAAGAAAUUAUUGUUAACAGAAUUUCUCAUCUCCUCCAUAUCUUUGAUCUGGUUUAUUUGCAGUGUUUGCAAACAGAGAAAGUCUAGAUUAGAUGACAGGUCUAUAUUAUUUGCCAUCUGCAGAUUAAAAACGAGUUCACUAAGAAAGCACCAAAUGAUACGAGCUAAGUCGAAUCUCUAUAAAUGAAACGAAUUCACCUGUAGACAGAGGUGUUUCAGAUCCGCGAUGUCAAUCACGGGUGUCCGAAGCAGCGAGCGGCGGAGCUAAACUCCUGAUAUUGAGUCUUAGUGUCCUUAAUCGUUUGUUGUUAAGCAGAUUGGUUCUGGGCUCAAUUCGGCAAGAGGCAGUAGCUGAUUUCGAUGCGGUGUGAUCGUGAUCGAGAGAAUCAGAGGACGAGAUCAGGGAGUGGAGUUGAAGAUGGUUGAAGAAAAUGCCAAAGUUGGAUGGAUGAAUGUAAGAGUUGUAACAUUAAAAUUCAUUAAGAAAAUAAAACGUUUUCAGAAUUCUAUUUAUUCCUAUUACAGACUUUGGAAUUUUAAAAUAUUUCAGGGUCAUUUAGCAAUUAUCCUCAUAACUGAAAUUAGGAUGAAAUCCCUAAAUCAAAAUCUCUUGUCCAGUUGGGUGCGCGGCUCACUUGCGAGCUUCUCCGGAUCGAACCCGGUCCGACGUCGUUGAACGAACUUCGCUUUUCAUACCUGCUCCAUCCACCACUAACGCAUCAAAAUCCCAUCAAAACCUUGUUAAACCAAUGAGUGAGAGACGUGCCGGCGAGAUUGGAGACCGGAGUGGCCGGAAGCACGCGAGUGCUGGGAGCGGGAAAUUUGGGGGAACUUCUAGGGUUCCUCGAACUAACGGAACCUAGAAGUUAGUUGGAGGAUUAAGAGAGAGGAGAUUAC